AUAUUUUUUCAAAUUUCCGGACAAAUCCUUUAUGUAUAUAAGAGACCUAGAAGCAGCAUGGUGACAAUAGUACAAGAGAGGGGGUGGUGUGAGUGCAACAGCCAACAACUUUCAUUUUGCCAUAUCAACAUGGUUUGGGCUGGGAGGUUCCAGAUGGACAUGGUUCUUCUGCUUGUUAUAGUGGAGAUCAUUCUGCUCAUUGCCACGGCGUCUCAAGGGCUGGCAUUUGGAAAACCACCUGGCAACCCUGAUUGGCCCGGAUGUGUUUGCAGCACAACACCUUGCACUUGUGGCGGUUAAUCAAGAUUUGACUCGCAAAUACUUGUAUCCGAAUGAGUCACAUUUUGGAUUGCCUCAAGUUUGAGUCGUAGAUUGUGUUAUGUUCUAGUUUCCGAAUUCUGCUCAGGAAAGAGUCGUAACCGGAGUGUAGCAGGUGCUGUUGCGUUGUACUCCCUCCGUAUCAAAAU
rnacentral:rRNA from 1 species